rnacentral:rRNA from 1 species
CUAAGCAUGAAGCCCCCCUCAAGAUGAGAUUUCCCAACUUCGGUUAUAAGAUCCCUCAAAGAUGAUGAGGUUAAUAGGUUCGAGGUGGAAGCGUAGCGAUACGUGGAGCUGACGAAUACUAAUCGAUCGAAGACUUAAUCAAUUU